rnacentral:lncRNA from 1 species
GAUAACUGGAAGUUCCAACUAAUAAGAAGCCUAAUGAACCUAAAAAAAGGAUAAAGGCCCAGCAGAAAUUACUUAUUUUUCGAGACCCCGUUAUAAGUUCUAUCCAUAUAUGUUCUGAUCGCCAAGUCAUACUUUACCCGAUUGCAUUUUAUUAGAAUUGAGAUAAUACCCCAUAGAAAUUUGACUUUACUUUUUUGUUUCCGAAGUAACUCUCAUCAACUAGCACUAGUUUGAGGUGAACUAGCACUAGUUUGAUGUCAACCUUUAGGAGUAAUUCAUCAAAUUGGUUAAAUCUAAAAUAAUAACAUACUCUUUAUUUAAUACGAUCCCACUAUACAUAUCGAUAUACAUAGAGAUUAACCGACUACAUUUCAGCCAUCCAGUGAUCCUGAUCUAUUUGAAAAUUACUAGAAUGGAUAUAUCCAUAUAUCAUGUUUCUGCAGGCAUAAGAGUUUUUUCCUUUAUGUUCGGUAGAAAUCACAUGUUAUACUCUAUUCCAAUAAAUAGAUAUCCGUGUUAUGAUACAAGUCCACGUUUUCAAAAAAAAAUGGAUGAGAUUGGGUCCCAGCGUAUCUAAACAAUCUUGUUUUUUUGAACAUGAAUAAAUAAAGAAGCCAUUGCAAUUGCCGGAAAGACUAGGCCUACUAACGGCACAAAAAUAGAUGGAAGGUUCAAAUUUGUCAUAGAAGGGGUACCUCGAUUUACUAUAUUGUAUCUGUUAUUAUGUUAUUAUAUAAAUAAAGAUAUCUUGUAAUAAUUAAAUAAUUAUAAUUAAAUUAAGAAUUUGAAUUCUAAUUAGAUAAUAUUUAUUAUUAAUAGAAUUUGAAGAAUUUGAAAUUCUUAGUAUAGAUCUAAGUAUCUAUAUAUCUAAAUCUAACUGAGUACGUAUAAUAAGAAUAAGUGCAAAGAAUGUAGAACUAAAUAAAUGGACUUAUUCAUCUCUUACAUGAGAAAGAUAUGUAUCAUAAUAAACUUUAUUAUUCAUUUCUUUGUCUUUUGUUCUUGUCUUCUAAUUUUCUAAAAAUAGAUAAAGAGAUUAUCGAAAGAUUCGUUCGAAUCCGACCCAACAUGAAUUUUUAGCUAAAAUGGUUUUUAGGGAGAUAGAGAAAGAUACAAAACUCUAUUAUCUAUAUUUUAAUUUCAAAUUAUAUACCUAAGACAAGAAGAAAUUCGUUUUAUUUUCCUAAUUUCACGAAAGGAAGAACUCACUCUUGGUGAUAAAGGCUUCUUGAUUCGUAAUCAGGAAUAUAGGUCAAAAAAGAGUUAUCCUCAACUUUAGUUUUGAUUCUUUCUACAAUUAGAUCUUCUAUCACCAAAGAAAGGGCCAUUAUUAUCUUAUUUACUUUAUCUUAUUUACUUUGAUUCCGAUAAACUAACUACUUUUUUGCUACAAACACAAAUAAAAUAAAAUAAUGGCCUUAGUGCUCUACUUGAUUUUGCUUGACUUUUGAUUCAAAGGAAAAAAGGCGUGGAGCUUAAAUAACUCACUCAGAACGCUUUUUAAAAGAUUACGUGGUACAAUUAGGUCGAAUAAACCCUUCUGGAAUAAGUAUUCAGCUACUUGUGAACCUUCGGGUACUGUUUUAUUCAAUGUUUGUUCAAUUACUCUUUUACCUGCAAAUGCAAUGUAGGCAUUGGGUUCGGCAAUAAUGAUAUCCCCCAACAUACCAAAACUAGCUGUCACUCCACCAGUUGUCGGAGAUGUAAGGAUUGAUACAUAAAAUAAUUUUUUAUUUAAUUGAUAAUCAUAUAAAGCAGACGAUAUUUUAGCCAUUUGCAUCAAGCUCAAACUUCCUUCCUGCAUGCGCGCCCCCCCAGAAGCACACACUAUAAUAAGAGGUAAAAUUUGAUUGGCAGCGUGUUCAAUCAAACGGGUGAUUUUCUCUCCGACUACGGAUCCCAUACUACCCCCCAUAAACUGAAAAUCCAUAACCCCAAUUGCUACGGGAAUGCCGUUUAUUUGGCCUAUGCCUGUUUGAACAGCCUCGGUUAAUCCUGUCUUUCUUUGAUAAGAAUCAAUACGAUCUUUAUAAGGCUCCUCUUCCGAAUGAAAUUCAAUGGGAUCCAGAGAGACCAUGUCUUCAUCCAUAGGAUCCCAAGUACCCGGAUCGACCAAAAGUUCAAUUCUAUCCGAACUACUCAUUUUCAAAUGAUAUCCACAUUGUUCACAAAUAUUCAUUUUUGAUUUAAAAAAUUUCUUAUAAUUUAAUCCAUAACAAUUCUCGCAUUGAACCCACAAAUGCCUGUAUUUUUGAGUUACCUCGAGAUCAUUAGAACUUUCUCUUAUAGUUAAAUCACUGCCAUUAGUUAAAUCACUGCCAAUAGUUAAAUCACUGCCAAUAGUUAAAUCACUGCCAAUAGUUAAAUCACUGCCAAUAGUUAAAUCACUGCCAAUAGUUAAAUCACUGCCAAUAGUUAAAUCACUGCCAAUAGUUAAAUCACUGCCAAUAGUUAAAUCACUGCCAAUAGUUAAAUCACUGCCAAUAGUUAAAUCACUGCCAUUAGAACUUUCUCUUAUAGUUAAAUCACUGCCCUUUGUGCGAGUUUGUAUACUGGAACCCUCGUUUUCACUGACGCCGUUGAGUUUACCACCGUAGAACUCAACUGUUACACCUACUUGUUUAAUACUAUACUUCGAUUCUGCCCUUCUAAAAGGAACAUCGGCUCUAACAAUUCCAUCGCCAUCUACUAAAAUGACCGGAUAUGUUUCAAAAAAAGUAGGCAUACGACGUACAAAAAGUCCACGCCCUUCUUUAUCUCUAAAGAUUGGGUGUCCUAACCAUGCAACCACUAUUCCAUCCCCGUUAUCCAUUGAACCUGCUCUGAAUAAUCCUCCUUUUGUCAUCUUAUUGCUGAUGUAAUCAUAAAAAGCUAAUUUUUUAGGAAUUUUAGACCAGGCUUCUGAUAAACUUUGAUUUUCUACUAGCUCAUCACUAAAUCUUCGAUAUAUUUCUUACUGGAAGUUUCCUUGAUCCUAUUGAUAAUAAGUGGGCCCAAAUAAUUCAAUCCGAGUAGUUGCUGAACCAUACCAUAUAGUUUCAGCAAUAAUAAAAGCUGUAAAAAAGACAGAAGUAAUACUAUUGGAAAGGACGAUUUCAAUAUUUCCCAUACACAAUCCUUUGUAUAUACGUUGUGGUGGAUAGACGCUAAGAUGGAAUAGGCCCGCUAAUUGCCCAAUGUUCCUGCUGCAAUAUGAUGAGAGGCUAUUCCUCCUGGAACAAAAGGAUCAAAACCUUCCACGCCCUACGCUGGAUUUACAAGUUGUACUUUUCUCGUUAGUCCAUAAGGAUCAGACACCCAUAUUCUAGGACCAUACAAGCCUAUUACAUGACAUGCACCAAAACCAAAGCAAGCUACCCCUGAGAGAAAUAAAUGAAUUCCAAAGAUCUUUGGCAAAUCUAAAGAGGGUUUUCCUGUACGUUCAUCAUAAAAUAUUUCUAGAUCCCAAUACACCCAAUGCCAGAUAGCUGCCAAAAAGCAUAAGCUAGAAAACUCAAUAUGUUCUCCCGCUACACCUUCAUAACUCCAAAUACCCAGAUUUGUUACAGUCCCCCCUAUAAUACUCCAAUCGCCCUUAUUCCUAAGCGAGUCAUGAAGGAUAUAAUGAACAUACCCUAUAUCCAUAUUAGAUCAAGAACAGGAUCAUAAGGAUCAAAAACCUCUAAUUCAUACAGAGCCAUCGAACCGGCCCAACCAACAACCAGAGCUAUAUGCAUUAUAUGGACAGAAAGCAAUCGACCAGGAUCAUUCAAUACAAUGGUAUGAACAUGAUACCAAGGCAAACCCAUGGAAAUACCCCUUAUAUCAAAGAUAAAUGGGCACUACAUAACUUUUUUGCAUUAGAAACGACUAUAAUAUGACUGUCAUAUGGACCACUCCUGUUCAAUCGAUUAUUUACGAAUCAAGGGUGUUCUAUUCUGGUGGUAAUAAUAAAACAAUUCUGUUCGUAGGAACAAAGAGAAGCAGAUUUAUCCUAUACUCGAUAAGUACUAAUACACAAUAAGGGAGUUGAUCUCAUUUUUUAUGAGAGAAUGAGUCCAUACUUAUUUAUCAUUAGAAAGACCUAUUUGUAAUAAUUUGAGUUUAUUCAUUCUGUCUUUCUUUAUGAAUUUUUAGAAUCUAUGGAUAAAAUAAAUACGAUAAGAAUCAAUAUGAAUAUUCUAAAGACAAUAAAAAAAUUGUUACGUUUCGACCUCAAAGUGAAAUAUAGUAUUUAGUUCUUUCUUUCAUUUAAUGCCUAUUGGUGUUCCAAAAGUUCCCUUCCGAGGUCCUAGAGAGGCAAAUCCAUUUUAGGUUGACGUGUAGUGUGACUUGUCAGAUAUAUUAGGUCAUAUGGUAUUUCUCCGUUCUCUUCCCCAAUCGAGAUAUCCCCCGUUUCACCCAAGAACGAUAAAACGAUAAAUUGAAUCAUAAAAAAUUUAGAGCAUGAAGUGCAAUUAGAUCCAUUUUUGAGGGGAUUCAUAUUAAUAUUAUCAAUUAGAACAAUUUAUGAUUGGCUUGGUUGGACUAAAAAAAUGAAGCAUCCAGGCUCCGUUUAGAAAAAACCCAAUUGGAUUGGUAAGAUAUCUAUGAUUGCUAUUCAUAUUUUUUAUUUGUAAAGAGAUCCUAAUUGUCAAUAAAAGUUAUCUCAACUCUAAUAAAUACUUGUAUAAAAUGAAUUGAAAAAAAAUACAAAAAGAAAUAGUAAUGGGAGCAUUUGUCCUAUAUGUACAAAUCCAAAUCGGACGGAUCUUUACCCGGAGUAGAGCAUAAACCUAAAAAGAUGAAACAGAACCAUUUAGGAACAAAAAAAUACCAUCGCGGCUUGGAUUAAAUAUCGAUGAAAGAAUACAUCAAUGAGAAGUUAAUUCGUAAGUUUAAUGACCCUUUCUUAUAACUUCUAAUUUUAUACUGGAAAAUCGAAAAUAGAAAUAUAAAAAAUGAGUCAAAACUCCUCUUUAUUGAAAAAUCAAAGAAAAUCCCUUUAGUUAGAAGUAUAAAGAACCUUUCUAGAAAAAAAGAAAGAGGACUAGAAUCUAUACAUUGAUUCACAAUUUUUUUGAACCGUAUGCAUCAAAAGGUGCAUGUACGGUUCCUAAGGAAUAUAAUUUUAUCCUAAUCAAUCGACUUUAUCGAUAAAUAUUACUUUUUUAGGCCAAGGUAUUACUAGAAAGAUUUUGAAUUAACUUAUUGGUCUUAUGGUAUAUCCCAGUAACGAGGAUGAGACCAAAGAGCUGUAUUUGUUUAUAAACUCUCCUGGGGCCUGGGUAAUACCUGGGGUGGCUAUUUAUGAUACUAUGUAAUUUGUGCGAUCAGAUGUCCAUACAGUAUGCAUGGGAUUAGCCGCUUCAAUGGGAUAUUUUAUCCUAGUCGGAGGAGAAAUUACCAAACGUCUAGCAUUCCCUUACGCUUGGCUCCAAUGAGGUUUUUAUUUGUGAGAAAAAAGAAGACUAUGCCUUCGCCAUAUGAAUACUAAGUAAUAAUAGCAUGGCACUGCGAAUUCGAUAUGAGAAAUUUUGUAUUGUUUUUUUCUUCAAAAAAUUAGACUCUAUAUCGAGAGAGUAGUAUGAGAUAAGGGGUAUUUCCAAUUUUCGCUUAUCUAUCGGGAGUUCGGUUCAGCGUCACAAACUUUUUUGUUUUCAUACCAUAGAGUUCUUAACAAUAUUUAUAUUAUGAAAGAGUACGAGAAAAAAGAUUUUUUCCUUAUUUGAUCGGAUUAAAAAGAAACUUUGGGAUUACUGAAUCACAGAUAAAAAAAAACAUAUAAAGCAACAGAGCCAUCAUAGUAUUUUUUAACUCCUCCAAAAGGAAGGAUGGCAAUUUGAUUAUUUACCCAUUGGAGUUUGAUAGAUUCUAUUUUUCUCUUUCUUCAAUAGAAAUGAGGGGUCAAUUUUGUUUUAGAGCCGUAUGCACAAAAGAUGCCUGUACGGUUGUUCAAUUCUAUCUUUUUUCUAUUCUUUAUCUUUCUUUUCUCUUUGCUUUAUCAUGCAAGUAGGAGAAGAUUUUAUUUUAUUAUAUCAUCAGGGUAAUGAUGCAUCAACCUGCUAGUGGUUUUUAUAUGGGACAAGUAACCAAAUGUGUCGUGGAAGCGGAAGAACUGCUGAAACUACAUGAAACCCUCACAAUGGUUUAUGUACAAUGAACGGGCAAACCUUCUGGGUUGUAUCCAAAUAUAUGGAAAGAGAUGUUUUUAUGUCAGAAAUAGAAUCCCAAGCUUAUAGAAUUGUUGAUCUUAUAGCGGUUCAAUGAAAAUAACAUGGAUUUUGCACAAAUCACAGAUUUUCAAUUUUAUCUUCGAAUUAAAUAUUCUAUUAAAUUGAAUAUUUUAUUAAAUAGUAGUAAUUCAUCAUCAUUUGUUUAGGACCAAUCUAAAAUAACCCAUCAUAUUAUGUAUACAAUUCAACAUGCCAACUAUUAAACAACCUAUUAGAAAUACAAGACAUCUAAUCAGAAAUGUCACAAAAUCCCCCACUCUUCAGGGGUGCCCUCAGCAUUGAGGAACAUGUACUAAGGUGUAUGUGCGACUCGUUUAAAUCAUGAGCUGGCACAAAAUAAAGAAAAUAACUUUUACAGUAUCAAUGAUCAGUACCGGUGAAUGGCAUAGGAUGGAAAAAGGAACUCCAUUCAUUAUUAAAAAAACUCUAUCAUAUCCCUCUAUUGUGUAUGAAGUUUAUGAUUUUCAUUGGUGUAAAUCUAAUCACCUGAAUUUAAGAUGAUAAGAAAUUCUCCAUUGGUAACAAAUGGUUAUCCAUUAAACGGAGCAAAUCUUAUUUUAAAAGCAUAAAACAUAAAGAUUAGUUAAGCUCCCAAUCUGGCAAGAACAGACUAAGAUGGUCAUCUACCCAGCAAACUUUCAUAAUUAAAUACUGUUACUGUAUAGGUAGAUCUAAUUGUCAAAGACCUAUUACUGGAUAAUUCAUGGGUAGAGCCAAAACGUGUGAACUAUACAAGUUCCCAAUAACAUCAAUUAGUUGAUUAAAUAUAUAUUAAAUUAAAGUAUAAAGUAAAGGCU